GACGAACGCUGGCGGCGUGCCUAAUACAUGCAAGUCGAACGCAGUGGGGAUGGGUGAGUAACCCGUUGGUAACCUCCCAUUAGAGGGGUUAACACAUGGCAACAGGUGCUAAACCGAUACCGAUGGAUGGACCGGGGGGGCAUUAGCUAGUUGGUGAGGUAACGGCGGACCAAGGCGACGAUUCAUAGCCGACCGGAGAGGGGGAUAGGCCACACUGGAACGGAGACGCGGCCCAGACGCCUACGGGAGGCAGCAGUAGGGAAUGGGCGGCAAUGGACGAAAGUCUGACCGAGUGACGCAGCGUGAGUGAAGAAGGUUUUCGGAUCGUAAAGCUCUGUUGUGAGAGGAGCGGUAGCGAACCAAAAAGCAACGGCUAACUACGUGCCAGCAGCCGCGGUAAUAC
rnacentral:rRNA from 1 species